rnacentral:rRNA from 1 species
UACGAAGGGGGCGAGCGUUGUUCGGAAUUACUGGGCGUAAAGGGCGCGUAGGCGGCCUUCUAAGUCAGACGUGAAAUCCCCCGGCUUAACCUGGGAACUGCGUCUGAUACUGGGAGGCUUGAGUAUGGGAGAGGGAUGUAGAAUUCCAGGUGUAGCGGUGAAAUGCGUAGAUAUCUGGAGGAAUACCGGUGGCGAAGGCGGCAUCCUGGACCAUAACUGACGCUGAGGCGCGAAAGCUAGGGGGGCAAACGGG